UCUGUUUUCAUCUCAUUAUUCCACAGUAUUCUGGACAUCUGUGUUGGGGAAUCUGUUGCAAUUAUGUUCAUUGCAUUAUGGAGAAAGAAGCUGAGCAAGCAAAGAAGAAAGUUGUCGGUGCGAAGUGUCUAUUUUGCGAGGGAAGUCAGCAACACAACACGUACACAGCCGGCGCUUCUUUGUUUACAUUCCCGAAAGAUGCAGUCAAGAUGGAAGAACUCGGACAACAGAGACUCUUACCAGGAGGACUUUGAUUUGGAUACACAGACGCGAUAACUGGAGAGAAAUGCUGUGGACUGUGUGUGACGCCCUCCUCUUUUUGGUCCUAUCAAAAAAAGGUUCCACUCUAUUAUUUUCCGUUACAUACCUUGAUGUUUCCCUGGGGAGUGAUUUGGCGGUGGCACCUGUGUGAGCAGCUUCCGUGAGCGCCGACACUCGGAGCAG